rnacentral:rRNA from 1 species
UCAGGAUGAACGCUGGCGGCGUGCCUAACACAUGCAAGUCGAACGGAGAAUUUACGCUGAUGAAGCUUCGGCAGAUUCUUGUAAAUUCUUAGUGGCGGACGGGUGAGUAACGCGUGGGCAACCUGCCUCAUACUGGGGGAUAACAGCUGGAAACGACUGUUAAUACCGCAUAAGCGCACGGUAUCGCAUGAUACAGUGUGAAAAACUCCGGUGGUAUGAGAUGGGCCCGCGUCAGAUUAGCCAGUUGGCAGGGUAACGGCCUACCAAAGCGACGAUCUGUAGCCGGCCUGAGAGGGCGGACGGCCACAUUGGGACUGAGACACGGCCCAAACUCCUACGGGAGGCAGCAGUGGGGGAUAUUGCACAAUGGAGGAAACUCUGAUGCAGCGACGCCGCGUGAGUGAAGAAGUAUUUCGGUAUGUAAAGCUCUAUCAGCAGGGAAGAAAGACUCGUAAGAGAGAUGACGGUACCUGACUAAGAAGCCCCGGCUAACUACGUGCCAGCAGCCGCGGUAAUACGUAGGGGGCAAGCGUUAUCCGGAUUUACUGGGUGUAAAGGGAGCGCAGACGGUCAAGCAAGUCUGAAGUGAAACCCCACGGCUCAACCGUGGGCUUGCUUUGGAAACUGUUUGACUAGAGUACUGGAGAGGUAAGCGGAAUUCCUAGUGUAGCGGUGAAAUGCGUAGAUAUUAGGAGGAACAUCGGUGGCGAAGGCGGC